AAGUGUAAUAAUAGAAAAAAACACACCUCAAGAGCAAGAAAACACAUUUCUCAAUCCAAGACAAAAGAUGUCGACCAAUCAGGCGCAGGCACACGGAUUGCAGGGCCCAAAAACACAUGCAACCGACUUAGUACAGCGUGGAGGCAUGCAUAACUGACCUAAACCUACCAAGCAACUUCCUAGAAAAAAUUGGGCCGGUUCGGUGUCAGAACCUAGUCGGCCGACCACCUCGGUCGGCUGACCAGUGGGUGGCACAACCAACCUUCAGUCUUCGACGUGACAGCUCCUCAUUUGCUCACAAUGUCUAUUUUAGGUGACUCCACCACAUUCCCGAGCCGAAAGUACCAUGUACCCCCUCUAUAAAUAUGAGGGGAGGGACUCCAAAUGAGACACAUCCAUCAAGUGAUCAACCCCCUCAAGAGAGGCUUAGAGCCUUGCUUAGUUAGUGAUCUGGAAUAGGGAGAGGGUAGAGGUACUCAGGAGGGGCGUCGGACUUCGGCGCUCUUCUCCAAUUUGUACCUCUAUGAGAGUGAGGGAGUAGUUCGUGAGAAGUGUUGGGGCGGGCAUUCUUCUCUGAGUUUGUACCUCUAUGGAUGUUGCUACAUUCUUCAGUGCUCAGUAAGCAUUCGUGGUUCCUAUCUCUAGUAUUUUACUUGGUAUAGUAGAUGCAAGUAGUACUUGAAGUUGAGUGAGAUCAGUUCUCUUACUCACGGGUUCGUCGCUUCGUAUUUAUAUGGAGUGCUGUAGUUUGGUACGGGUCGACAUACGUUGUUAGAUUACAGUAGUAAUCAAUAACGUAGACAUGGUGUCUAGGCUAAGGGUUAUCCUUCGUUUGCCUUAUAUUCUACAACUUUUUAGAGAUAGGCCAUAUGUUGUGACAAUCUUAUUGGUUCUUUGUAAUCCUCCACGUUCGGAUAUAGAGUAGAGCUGUUGGCCGUAGUUGCCUGGCAGACCAAGUGUAAGCUGAUACCCGAAGCAAGUAUUGUGCCCGAGAGAUCGACCUUUAACUCAGCUAUAGUGCUAUCUUAGGAAUCCUCUCUACCCUUCUACCUAUCUUGGUGUGUCAUUGGAUCGAAUAGAAUAGAAGUUAGUGCACACACGUUCACAGUGGAUUCGAUAACUCUUGGAAUACUCUGAGGUGAAAACUACAACAGUAUCCGUGCGCUUGCGGAUUUAUUCGUGAUGCUAAAAUACCCAACAGUAUCUCGUCUUUAAUUCCUUGUGCUGUCCAUCUGGAUCCACUAAUCUUGCUCCUUCAACUCGUCUUUGCCAUUCGAGUCCACAAAACCUUUGCCAAACAGUAUCUUUUCCUCUAUGGUCGUCCACCUCUUUUGGACAAUCACUUUCUAGUCGUUGUCAAUACGACUCUCCCUUUCGGUCCUGUAGCCUAAGACUGCUACUGUAGUUUUGGUUGUCAUGGAUUUAUGUGGCCUAGACUUGUCCAGAUGUGUGGCUCUGACCCCGUCUGGAUCUAUGCGGCGAUGGCUCAUCCGUUUGCACCUUGCUGCUCUUUAUCACCUCCUCCGUGAGUUCGCGACUCUUUGACUAAGGCACGUUCAUCGUCACGACUCUCUACCUUUGUGCUUCUCUUCUUGGCAAGGUUUCAAGACUCGCAUGCCAUUGCAACAUAUUGGAGACUUGGAUUUGGAUGUUUUCAAUUAUCUUAGUGUUGUAAUGUGUCUAAGUCUAGUGUUUAGUGUUCUCUCUCUUCCAAAUGAAAUGCAAUUGUAUAUGCUUUGCAUUUGAGGGGGUGUUAAGGGUAUUAUUGUCAUUGUACUCUAGUAUAGGGUUUAGGCUCUCAUGUACUAUAUAUACCCCAUUUGGGGAUGUUGAAUAUAUAUCUUCAUUCAGCCAUCUUCCUCCUUUCCCCUUCCAUCUAACAUAGAACACAUUUAUCAGAAGCGUGUGUGUGUGUGCGCGCGCGCGUGUGUGUGUACAUAUCAGAAUGGCAUAGUCAAUUUGAACUCUUAUCAGCUCAUCAGAUAAAUCAUCUGUUCUAUCGACAUGACAAUUUGAAUACAGUAUUGACCUUAAUAUGCCAAAGAAUAAACCAUAUUUCCUUUGUGCAGUUUGACUGCUGAAUGCCGACAAAAAAAAGUCCUACUUUUCUAUUUUUUUCAGAAAUAAAUAUAUUUGGGGAAGAGAUAUUCAACAUGAACCUAUGAAGGAUAAGAUGAUUUGUUCCCAACCACUCGCCAUAAAGGAGAUACACUUUUCAAAUCCUGAGCAGACUACAAUACUGUUCUUAAGCCAUUUCCAUCGGUGCGGAUCGAACAUGUGCUAAAUAUUGUGGUACUGGAAGAGUUGAUAAGAAUAUGGAUAUCCACAGCUGCAGAAUCUGUUCACAAGUUAUGGUCUGCCACCUUAUCAAUGAAGAUUCUAAUUCUGAUCGAGCUAAACUAACAGAUAUAAAUCUGAAUAAACCCGGGCGCCUGGUAACUUGGUUCUACACAAUUCACAUUCCUCAGUAUUUUAACCUUCAUAUAGUUGGUCUAGAUAAAUCUGAAGCAUACUUGCAGAAAGCCAUGUGUGCCAGCCAACAAGUGAAGCUAAAUUCUAACCAUACCUUUGGGCUUUGGCCGUCACUUGCUCGCCAGUGUCUAUGCUCCAUGUGAUGCAAUGAACCAACUUGGUUCUUCUUUUGCCAGCAACUUUUGUCUUUUACAAUAAUAUAUCAUGUUUUCAGCAUAUUUUGACAGUAAUAUACUGAAGAAUAAACUAUAUUUAUUCUAUUCUUGAUAACAUCGAGUAUCUAUUUAGUUCUGCAGUGAUAAGAAAUACCGGAAAUUAUGGGCGUGCCACGAAAGUGGAAGGAAACAUACAAGCAGGCAGGCAUGACAAGUAAUUCCUGAUUCGAGAAUUAUCGAAGUGAUAAGAUAUUCUGCAAUAAUGGGCAACAAUUUGGGGUGCCAGUUAUUACUACUUUUUUCAGUCCUGUUUAGUCCUGUGUAUUUGAGAGAAUCUCACAAAUAUACUUCCGGACAAUAAGGCAUGCUGUUUCACAUUUCCAUCUCGGGUGAACCUUGGACAAAAUUUGUAGACUUGAGUGGACCUUAAAAAUGCAUGCAUGAGAGGCAACAGAUGUAAUGCAAAAUGAAUUCAGCAUAAGGCCAAGAUCUAGAAUUAGUUCUCUUUUAGGGAGGAGAUCACCGAUCAGCAGCGAUGGUCUGAUCCAAAAUUCCAAAUUAUAUGACUGCAUCCAGAUAACGUGACUGACAGGUCGAUUUCAUGGUUCAUGGCAGCCAAGUCACUAAGACAACACUGGAUCUUUGGGUGCGCAUCCUUGACUUCUGAACUGGACAUUUUGUUUAAUAUACGAGGAAAUGAGGUAGGUCAGAAACAAAAUUGAUAAGGAGAGAGACAAAAAUAAAGCAGCAACAACAAAAAAAAGAGAGCAGGAGAGGCUCUUCCUCGUCAUGGAGUUCGUCGGCCCCAGCAGCCUCCGCAGCGUCCUCAUCUCGGUGCGGGACGAGAUCGUCUACUAUGCCGACCCGGAGGUGUUCAAGAGCCUGCUGGAACCGCUGUCGGCCCAAGGUCCUGUGUGGUUUGCUGCCUGAGCUAUGACCAGAGGCUCACCCCGGCGGAGGCGCUCAGGCAGCGCUGGUUCACGGAGGACGCUGCUGAAGCCGCAGACGAGAAAAGGAGUAGCAAUGCAGCAUAACAUUCUGUUCUGGUUCUUCUUUUUUUUUUCAAAUAUGCAAGAUUUACAAAUCUCUUUCGUUCUACUACAAGUUUGGUUAUGCUGCACAUAUGAGAAAGAAGAUUUCUCACAUGUACUAGAGUGGGAUCCGGUUUGAUCAUCUGCUACCCUUUUGAUUACAUGCACAAGUACAAGUGGAGUAUGGCAAGAGCUCAUGCACAAGGGAAAAAGUUCACGUUUACUAGUAUAAUGAUGAAACCUUCGAUUUGCCGCUCUUCUUGCUGCAGUUUAUGAUUUCCUUUCCGACCAACAUGCAUGUCAGUAUUUGCAACA